GCAUUGGUGGUUCAGUGGUAGAAUUCUCGCCUUCCAUGCGAGAAACCUGAGUCCAAUUCCCGGCCAAUGCA